rnacentral:rRNA from 1 species
UACGUAGGAGGCGAGCGUUGUCCGGAAUUACUGGGCGUAAAGGGUGCGUAGGUGGCCCUGUAAGUCAGUGGUGAAAUAUCUCAGCUUAACUGAGAGGGUGCCAUUGAUACUGCAGGGCUUGAGUACAGAUGAGGUAGGCGGAAUUGACGGUGUAGCGGUGAAAUGCAUAGAUAUCGUCAAGAACACCGAUAGCGAAGGCAGCUUACCAAGCUGUAACUGACACUGAGGCACGAAAGUGUGGGGAUCAAACAGG